GCGCGAAAACUUUACAAUGCGGGAAACCGCGAUAAGGGGACACUGAGUGCCAGCACCAUGUGUUGGCUGUCCGCAUGUAUAAAUCACAUGUGUUAGCAAGGGCCGGGCAAGACCGGUGCCAGCCGCCGCGGUAACACCGGCGGCCCGAGUGGUGGCCAUUAUUAUUGGGUCUAAAGGGUCCGUAGCCGGUUUGAUCAGUCUUCCGGGAAAUCUGACAGCUCAACUGUUAGGCUUCUGGGGGAUACUGUCAGACUUGGAACCGGGAGAGGUAAGAGGUACUACAGGGGUAGGAGUGAAAUCUUGUAAUCCUUGUGGGACCACCAGUGGCGAAGGCGUCUUACCAGAACGGGUUCGACGGUGAGGGACGAAAGCUGGGGGCACGAACCGGAUUAGAUACCCGGGUAGUCCCAGCCGUAAACGAUGCUCGCUAGGUGUCUGGGAUGGUGCGACCGUUUCAGGUGCCGCAGGGAAGCCGUGAAGCGAGCCACCUGGGAAGUACGGCCGCAAGGCUGAAACUUAAAGGAAUUGGCGGGGGA
rnacentral:rRNA from 1 species